CUAUCCACAUCAGCAACUCUUCUCUCAAUGAUCCACAUCAGCUUUGGUGGUUACUACAGAAUUUUUGAUCCUUCAACUGCAUGGUGGGCUGCGGCAGUUAUGGCUGUGGAAGUUUCACCCUCACAGCUUCUCAUGUUGCUGCAGUUAUUGCAGUGUGAAUUUGCAUUAUCAUGUCAAGGCCUGUUGAGAGAAUAGCAGAGAUCAAUGAUGGAAAAGAGCUUUGGAAGAUUGUUGUUAGGAUUCACCACCGAUGGAAAGUUGUCUCCAACAGCAAGGAACAUUUUGAAAUGAUCUUUGUUGACAAAUUGGGAGAUGAUAUUCAUGCUGUUGUUCCAGCACCGCAUGUGUCGGUUUUCACCGAAAAAUGCUUAUUAGGCCAUACUUAUACUGUAUCUAAUUUUAAGGUGGUGCCUUAUGUUCUGGCCUUCAGGGCAUCGGGACACAGAUAUAUGAUAAAGUUUACUGCUGGAACGUCUGUUCUUGAUGAAGACAAACAUGAGAUACCCCCGAAAUCGAUUUUAUUUACAAGUUUUUCAGACAUCAUAACAGGGAGGUUUGACAAACAUGUUCUGAUUCGUGAGUAUGGUUUUUGGUUUUUUUAUUGUCUCAUGUUUUGAUGCAUUAUAGCCGUGUGAAAUUAAUAAAUUUAUUUCAGAUGUCGUUGGAAUGGUGGAUAGUAUUGGUUAUGCGCAGACUGAGUCAGGUGCAAAGAAGCAGCAAAUUAGCAUGAUGUUGCGUGAUCACAGCAACAACAUGUUGAACUGUACUCUGUGGGAAUCAUACGCGGAUCAGUUCAUCAAGUUUAACAAAGUUAGGGUUGCUGCAUCAC